rnacentral:rRNA from 1 species
AGUGAACGCUGGCGGCGUGCCUAAUACAUGCAAGUCGAACGGUAACAGGAAGUAGCUUGCUACUUUGCUGAUUAGUGGCGCACGUGUGAGUAAUGCAUAGGUCAUGUGCCCCAUAGUCUGGGAUAGCCACUGGAAACGGUGAUUAAUACUGGAUACUCCCGAGAGGGGAAAGUUUUUCGCUAUGGGAUCAGCCUAUGUCCUAUCAGCUUGUUGGUGAGGUAAUGGCUCACCAAGGCUAUGACGGGUAUCCGGCCUGAGAGGGUGAACGGACACACUGGAACUGAGACACGGUCCAGACUCCUACGGGAGGCAGCAGUAGGGAAUAUUGCUCAAUGGGGGAAACCCUGAAGCAGCAACGCCGCGUGGAGGAUGAAGGUCUUCGGAUUGUAAACUCCUUUUCUAAGAGAAGAUUAUGACGGUAUCUUAGGAAUAAGCACCGGCUAACUCCGUG